AGACUUAUAAACACCAUGACGAUCCCGAGGUUGAUUCACAUUUGAAAAAUUAAGAUGUCAUUGAAUAUCAAGGUGUUUAUGUUGUUUUUGCAUAAGGGAGUCAUUUUGACAAUGAAUAACUUGGCAAAGCGUAGCUGGGAAGGUAGUAAAUGUUCUUGCUUUUAUGAUCAGGAUGAAACAAUAGAACAUUUGUUUCUACUUUGCCCACUUGCAGUGUCUUGA
rnacentral:rRNA from 1 species